UACAGAGGGUGCGAGCGUUGUCCGGAAUCACUGGGCGUAAAGGGCGCGUAGGCUGCCUGAUAAGUAGGGGGUGAAAUCCUGUGGCUUAACUGCAGGGCUGCCUCCUAGACUGUUAGGCUCGAGCACGGUAGAGGCAGAUGGAAUUCCCGGUGUAGCGGUGGAAUGCGUAGAGAUCGGGAAGAACAUCGGUGGCGAAGGCGGUCUGCUGGGCCGUUGCUGACGCUGAGGCGCGACAGCGUGGGGAGCAAACAGG
rnacentral:rRNA from 1 species